rnacentral:rRNA from 1 species
UGAGUGAUGAAGGCCCUAGGGUUGUAAAGCUCUUUCACCGGUGAAGAUAAUGACGGUAACCGGAGAAGAAGCCCCGGCUAACUUCUGUGCCAGCAGCCGCGGUAAUACGAAGGGGGCUAGCGUUGUUCGGAUUUACUGGGCGUAAAGCGCACGUAGGCGGACUUAUGCUUAAGUCAGGGGUGAAAUCCCGGGGCUCAACCCCGGAACUGCCUUUGAUACUGGAAGUCUUGAGUAUGGAAGAGGUAAGUGGAAUUGCGAGUGUAGAGGUGAAAUUCGUAGAUAUUCGCAGGAACACCAGUGGCGAAGGCGGCUUACUGGUCCAUUACUGACGCUGAGGUGCGAAAGCGUGGGGAGCAAA